rnacentral:rRNA from 1 species
AUGUUCAACAAGAGGCUGGACUCCAAGUACUCUGAGAGGGAAAGGGACCCACUGCUUGCAAAAUACAUUGAAGAUGAGCCACCAAAUGAGUGGAUGUUGGAUGAAGAGCUACUACAAGAUGAUGAGUCAUCUGAAGAUGAAGCUGAAAUUGACAUCAAUUCAAAGGGGAAACAAAAAUCUGUAGCUUCAAGAACUAGAGGAAAAAGAGCUCCUACAAAUCAAGAUGUUGAAGAUGAGGAGGAAGUGGCAGAAGAAGAGGAAAUGGAAGAAGAGGAUGAGAACCAAGAAGCUGAGGAGGACAAUGAUGAAGACCAAGAAGUGGACAUCGAUCUGACUGUUGAAGAUGAAGAGGAUGGUGAAUGA